CCUACGGGUGGCUGCAGUGGGGAAUAUUGCACAAUGGGGGAAACCCUGAUGCAGCGACGCCGCGUGAGUGAGGAAGGAUUUCGGUAUGGAAAGCUCUAUCAGCAGGGAAGAAAAUGACGGUACCUGACUAAGAAGCCGCGGCUAACUACGUGCCAGCAGCCGCGGUAAUACGUAGGGGGCAAGCGUUAUCCGGAUUUACUGGGUGUAAAGGGAGCGUAGACGGAUUAGCAAGUCUGAUGUGAAAACCCGGGGCUCAACUCCGGGAGUGCAUUGGAAACUGUCGAUCUAGAGUGUCGGAGAGGCAAGCGGAAUUCCUGGUGUAGCGGUGAAAUGCUUAGAUAUCGUACAGAACACCGAUUGCGAAGGCAGCUUACCGAACUAUAACUGACGUUGAGGCACGAAAGCGUGGGUAGCGAACAGGAUUAGAUACCCCGGUAGUC
rnacentral:rRNA from 1 species